rnacentral:rRNA from 1 species
UACGUAGGGCGCAAGCGUUGUCCGGAAUUAUUGGGCGUAAAGAGCUCGUAGGCGGCUUGUCACGUCGGGUGUGAAAGCCCGGGGCUUAACCCCGGGUCUGCAUUCGAUACGGGCAGGCUAGAGUGUGGUAGGGGAGAUCGGAAUUCCUGGUGUAGCGGUGAAAUGCGCAGAUAUCAGGAGGAACACCGGUGGCGAAGACGGAUCUCUGGGCCAUUACUGACGCUGAGGAGCGAAAGCGUGGGAGCGAACAGG